GAGAGAGACUGGGCCCCCGGCAAGCUGCCCUGGCUUUGUUUACAACAAAAAGCUAUUGUUUGAUGUGGUUGCGCAGCCGGCUCCAAAGCUCCCGCUCCCACAGGAUGUGCUCUGGGUAAAAUGCCAGACGGAGGCCACUGCUGGAUGCGUUCGACCUCGCCAUACUGGGACUCGCAGUCCUCCUGAGGCCUCCGGGGACUUGGGAGAAGUACAUAAAACAACAGCGGUUUGGUGUAUUUUUGUUUUCGUGUCUUUUAUGGGGGGGAAAUGUGCGAGGAGGAAUUCUGUCGCUCCACCAAACAGGUUCGGGCGGCUUCAAACGAGGGAAAAGGUACCAGAUGUGAAACUUUGAAAUUUUGUAGAUAUUUUGACAGCUCGAGUUUAUUUCUUUUCUUUUUUUUUGACCUAAAGACUCUUACAUUUGUCACCGCGUUCUUUAAAUGACACGAUCGCUGUGCGUUCUAAGUAGCGAGAGUCCUAAACUUAUUCAUUUCUCUCCCUCCCGUCGUCUCUUCCCGGGCCUCACUCGCCAAAAACAUAAUGACUUUCCCAGUUCCGUUCCCUCUUGGGGAGAUUUCUCUUUCCGCCACCAGCCGCUCUUUUCUCUGCCAGGUCUCUGCCGUCGAGCCGCACGCCACCAGAGCAACGCAAACCCUCGUUGUGUCACGACGGUCCGAUCCAAGCAAAUUCAGGCCACGUGCAGGAUGCGUCGGAGGAGCCCGCUGGCGUUCCAAGCGCUGUAUUAAUCUUUCAUCGCUCGCCCUUGGAGCGGUGUCCGGUUGAAUGCUCGGCUGGAAAUGAUGAACAAACGGCGAGACGAUGAUAUCGCGGGUGUAUCAAAAGCACAAUGGGCUUCUUUUUAAUUGCUGAAGUCGCACACGAGUAGGAAGAAAAUGGGGCUAAAAACGUUUCAGGCCACGCGGGCGAAGCGUUUCCAGGUGAGGCUCUUUAAAUGGCUGCUGAAGCUUUGUUGGUGCGUAUUUUGGCAGCGAGUCAUUUCAGAGAUUGUUUAGCUCCUCUGGUGUUGGUGCCUAUUCCCAUUUUUUCGCUUUGCAGUCACACAAAAGAAAAAAAGGUGGGAGGACCGACGGCGGCAAUCAGGACUUGGCGUCGCUCGCGAGCCUCAAAGGUCGCCUGUAACAGUAGCCGGCGUACGGCGACGACGUGCCCGCAGCAACGCUGGGAAAGCAGAGAAACAUGCGCGCGCGAGCCAAGCUCGAAAUCCCUCCUGACGAUCGCCCUUUUUCCUGCACCCAGGGCCAGAUAAAAGGGGGGGUGGGGGGGGGGGUGUUGAUGCCUCUACUGCCCCCCGGAGGCCCCCCGGCCUCACUGGCAGGAAGGCGGGAACCGUCUUCAAGGCCGCUCUUCAAGCGCAGCACUAAUAGCUCGCGUGUUACAUAAAGAACUCCCCGUUGGCCGAUGACGUGGGUUUGGAUUUUGAGUCUAACGUGAUGAUUUACUGCCUUUGGAGAAACAGGGCAUGUAGACAAGAGGUACGAGGUACAGUAAGUCCCGACUGCUUCAUGCGGGACCGAUUUAAUUUUUCAUGUCGGUGUAAGUACGGAGCAAUCGAGGCUACCUGCAAAGUCCUCGAGGAAUCCAAAGAAACAAGUCACGAACGAAUUAAAGAGGCUUUCUGUCCUUCCUGUUAAGAAGUGACGGCUCUGGCAGAGGAAUAUAGCACAAAUGAUGAGACGGGACAUAAAGGAAAAGCCACUGACACAGAGACUAUUUAAUGCCUGUUCUGUUCCUUUUUUCUUUCUCUCUGCACAAGUUUGUCACGACAGUUUACAGCCGAACGUUUCGUCUUUCAGCAGUCACGGCUGGAAUUAAUGGAGCCUUAAACACAGGCAGCUGUGAAUUUUCUGUGCUGCGGCUUGUGGCGUUGGGAAUAAUAGCUGUUGUUCUCAUACGAUGAAACAUCCCUCAUCAGCGUCGUCUUUCGCCUCGAGAACGAGGAAGCGGACGGAGAGGCGCGCGAACCCCGGCGCGACAAUCAAAUCGUUCCCGAUGAAAGAAAACAUAUAUAAAUACGCGAGGCCGAGGAGACAUCUGAUUGGCAUGUUGCGUCGGCGCUUUCAAAAACCAAUAAGGGCUAAUAAAAAUGUAUGCAACGUGUGAAGUCAUUAUGCAAACACAAAGCUUUCUGUUUCGCGGCCAACUGUCACAUGUGAAUGAUUGAUGCUCCUUCUUGUUUAUUAGAUAUCACUGACAGAAAGCACCAGCACAUUUAUUUUCUUCCAUUGAUAUGCAGCGGCUCUCUUAAUGCUUCCCGCAGCGCCGUGAUGAGUCAGGGCGAAUCUAUACGCUGAAUAUAAAUAAGAUUGCACACCCGCAGAGCCCCCCGUGGUCGCGGUGCGCCCCUCCCUCCUCAGCAGCGGGGGCCCCCGCGCCGCAGGGCCGGAAUUCUGCCAGUUUGAACUGUCGGCGACACCGAGCGGCACCUGCUGAAUCCGCCCUCCCCGACCCCCGGCGGCGCCGGUCAACAUCACCGGGAGCCCGUUCCGCUCCGUGCAUCCAGGACAGCUGGUCACGGCUGAGAAUAACCACCAUCACAAGCUUUCCACCUGCCGAUCAAUAACCCCCCCCAACCCCCAACCCGCCUGCGGUCAACCAAGUCCACGCCUGCUGGCCUUGACCCAAAGCCCCCCCGCCCUCCCCGCAUCCCUGGUUUUAAUCCCAAAUCAAACAUCUCAGUGAUCCCUGGAUGAGGUCCUCUGCCCGUGGUUCCUUGUUUAAACACUUGUAUGCCGUCAUGUUUCGGGUAAAUCAUCCACUUUUUCCAUUGUAUACGUUUCCCAAACAAUCUAAAAUAAUUGCUCUUUUCCCGGCAGAUCCGAUUUAACUGGAUUCAUGCUUUGCUGUGUCUGCGUGAACAUACAGGUGGUGGUGGGAGGGGGGCUGGGGGCGGGGGGUCAAGGGUAACCGUAGAUCAAACUACGCGCUUCGCAGGCCCGCGUGUCGGUGGGAAAGGUCAUUUCCUCAUCGACUUCUGUACCGUCUGACUUCUUCUACACCCGGAGGAGUCGCCCCCCCCCCGGACGGCCGUUAGAGGACGGACGCCACAGACGUCGGCGUUGCAGCUGAUAAAAGCUCGUAUUGAUCCACGCCGCCUCUUAGUAUUCCUCAUACAUCGCGGCUUGGCCGACCGGAGAGGUACAUCGCGUCGUUUCAGGAUCACGUUGACACGGCUUCAUAUCAGACUCGAGAAGUAUUGUUGACAUCCAGGUCGCCGCCGUCUCCCACGCGGUCGCCGUGUGUUUCUUUUUUGUUGGAAUUUAUUACAGAGGCUUUCAAGUCAAGAAAAGAAUACAGACAGCCGCCCGUGUAGCAACGACUAUAUUUGUUUUUCGGCCAUUGUACGACAAAAAAACCCCCAAAGAAUGAGCAUUGAUAUUCCCCAUUUACAUAUUUCUUUGAGCCCUUAAUUACAGUGUGUCUGUUCUGUAAAGAAAAAAAGCUUGCACAGGUGUGACAGAACAACAAUGGAGGGCAUUUUCUUGGGCGAGUGACAUUCCCGACACGUUAUUGCUCUUGUCCGACCGGCUCGUUUCCAGCCAAUGUGGGUAUUAUCCUGCAUGAGGGUGUUUGACAGCUCCAUUGCUUUUAAAACUGCGAUUAGGAUAAUUGCAUAGGAGCGCUUUUCUGCUGAAACAGAGGACAACUUGGACCAUGGCACUGGAAUUUCAAUCAGGCUCAUAUACAAGAUCUCUCCUUUCUGUACUGGAGAGGCCAAAACUUUGGCCGUGGGAAAGAAAAUUACCAUCAUGUGAAAUACAUCUGAAGUUCAGCACCACUUUGCAAAGAAUCCAAUGUCAAGCAGCAGAGAAACGCAAUAUAAGAAUAAUUGAUGAUACACAAGUCUCAAUGGAACGGCAUCCAUAUGAAACCCAAUGAUUAUGUGGGCAAAGCCUGAUUGCAAUAGCGGCCAAUGAGAAGAUGAAGAAGAAUGUGGUACAAUGUGACCUCCACCGUGACGCCUUUGAAACGCCUCUGACCUUUAAGUGAUGGCGAAAGGAAACGUAAGAGGAACACAAGUCUAAUGGACGCAGUGGAAGCGUUGAGGUGGAUUCUGACUAAAAUAACCAAAUCACGCUAUUAAACACGGCAAACAGGGUUUGCUGACUUUGGACGGAUGAUGUAUAAGGUGUAUAAACACAUGGAUGGAUGAAUGAUAGAUGGAUGAAUAGAUGAAUGGACCGACUGACAGGUGGAUGGAUGAAUGAUAGAUGGAUGAAUAGAUGAAUGGACCGACUGACAGAUGGAUGGACGAAUGAUAGAUGGAUGAAUAGAUGGAUGGACAGACUGACAGGUGGAUGGAUGAAUGAUAGAUGGAUGAAUAGAUGAAUGGACCGACUGACAGAUGGAUGGAUGAAUGAUAGAUGGAUGAAUACAUUAAUACAAUACAGGUACUGUCGUCCAGGCGUUGUUCCUCCGCACACAAAGCAAAGUCCGUUUAACAGCAAAAAUAAAACAGACUUUCUGAGUCUUGUGUGGAAUAAUUUGACCUCAUCCCCAUCCGGCACCUUUUGUGAUGAAGCGAAACACCGACCGCCAGCCUGGGGGGGCCGCCGUCGGCUCGCUCACCUCCCCGAUGCCCGCGAGGCCGAGCGACCGGCGUCCAAAAAACACAAACCGGUGGAGCGCCAGAAGAACGCCCGCGCCUGCAUACGGAUGGACGGAUGGAUAGCGCUUAGGUCGACGGGUUCCUUUCACAUUGCGACCGCCGUAACGUAAGACAAAGCAGCGCUUCACUCAACGAAAACACCAGAUGUUGGUGAUCCAAGCAAGCCGCUCAGCCUCGUGAACAAAAAAACGCGCGGCGAAUUGCUCAGAGCGGCGAAAGCAUCGCAUCGGAUCGACGGAUGACAAAAGUUACUGUCGCGGCGCCAAUAGACGGCGGUGGAGGUGGACGGCGGUGCUGAGAGAGGGGUUCUCACAGCGUACAAAGGGGGAGUUGUUAGUGCUCAUUGGCCCGGCGGGCUGUGCGGAGGCCCGAGGAUAAGCCUGAAGCCAGAGGGGGGGGGCGCGAGGUGAGAGCUCAGACAAUACGGCCGGGCUCUGAGGCAAAGGCAGACUACACCAGAUAAUGUGACACGCAGCAGCAUGUCGGCAACAACAAGACCCUUAUUCGCGAUGUCAGGGGCUUCGUGGGCAGAAUGAGGACGAGAGGUAGAGGCGCCGCGGCGAGAAGCAGAGCGAGCGGCAAGAAAGCUCCCGAGUGGCGUCUUAGGGCAGGUUAGCAAAGGUGCGAAGCUGCCUGCACGGAGGGUAGAUGUCGUAUUUCUUCCUGUCCGAACCCUCUGUGGGGACUGAACGGGGCGGCCGGAUCACAUAAUUGGUUCCAGGAGCGGCGAACGACGCGGGGAGGGACUCGAGCGCGCCCCCGAGAAAAAACUUGACGGUGCGAGCGAGAGAAAAGGGAGGAGAAAAAGAAAAAAAGGGAAAACAAAAUAAAUGCGAGUUGACAGUUAAAAUGGGGGACAGUUAGGCUCAGUGUUGUUACCAUGACAAAGAGAAAAAGAGCACAGUGUGCGCUCCCCGCAUGGAGGGUGAGGAGCUUUAAGCACGGAGCAGCAGGAGGCGAGGAAGUGGCACGCUGGGGGCCUCUCGCCGCGGCCGCUCGGACGCCAAAAUGCGUAGAAGCGCCUCAGCGCCUUUGUUCGAAAGCGACUCGGAUUGAAUUUGCCGCCGAGGAGACAACUAUCAAAAAGAGCAAUAGCUCCUGCGGGCGGGGGGGGGGGCCCUUCCAGGCCUGCAGGAGACAGAUUACCCCUCUGCAGGGGCCAGAAGUGACAUCAUCCGGGACUGGAAGCUGGUAGGAGGAGGAGCCAGCACGGCAAGGAGCGCGCCUCACGCAGCACCUCUGGACGGGCUUCCGGGCCGCUCGCCGUCUGCACACGUUUGACUCCGCCGCCCCGCAUCAAAAGGCCGGCGGGGUUAAUCUCGCCCCGGGGGGAGGGGGGGGGGGGUUAAUCUCGCCCCGUGGUAGCGCCCGAUCCACACAGCCGGAUCUAAUGACACGAGCACGUGAAGCUCCACGUUCCUUCUGUUCAAUACCGAGCCGGACAUCACACACACGCACCACGCACACACACACACACACACACACACACACACACACAAUAAUUGGAUAACUCUGAAUUGAGUGCAGAGUUUAGUUCCUAAAUGUGAUUCCCAGAGCAUUAAAACAUUAGGAUGCAACCUUUUAUUUUUAUUUUUAAAGGGUCUAAAGUAAAUGAUGUAAGUUGAAAUUAAAGUAAAAUGCCCUUUUCUAUUUAGAUAAAUGAAGAUAUGCGCAAUUGAAAGUGGGAAAGUGGAGAAGUAAAACCUCAAUGAAAAACACUAUUCUGCUGGAAUUAUUUCAUCAUUUUCUGCACAGCUUUAAAUAAAAGGCAGCUCACACACACAAAGGAGUGUGGGAGGAAAUAGAGAAUUAUUGAACAGGGAAAAUAGAGAAUACAUAACUAGUUAAAUGUUUAACAAUUUAUUCCCCGAAACCAACAAUAGCAUGUGUGAGUAUAAAGCUUUACUUAUCUUUAUACUCACAAUCAGUAUUUGCUUCAUAUGCACUCACACAAUUAUACUUUUUUAUAUUUUCUCUCUUUUAUUGCUGCAUCGUAUCAAUUAAAUAUCAAUUCACAAAUGCGUGUGUUUCAUGAGCGAGAGGCCACUUGCGCAGAGCGCGACUUCUCCCUGGGUUUUCUAUUAUAAUAAGUAUCAUUGCAUAAAAAGUGCCGUGCCAUCUGCUGGGCUCACGGACCCUCGUCCAAAUAUCAAUGAUUUUCCAAUAAAUCUAAAACUAAUGUUUAUCCCAAGCUGUGACACGAACAGCGGCAGUCGGGUCAUUGAGCCUGGACCCAAUUACCCGAUCAUCCAUCACCAGCCAUUGUCGGCCUCCGCAGCCUCAGAAGCAGCAACACGUGCUAUUUUGUCUUCCCCUCGGCGUUGAUAUCGCCGCUCUGGGGAAUCCACAGAAUCAGCAGCCGCCUCCGCGGCCACGUGGUCCUCACCUCUCGUUUCUUUUGCGAGCGUGACCAAACUCCAAAAGGUCCGCUGCUCCAGAAGCCCACGGUAAGUGAUCCGCACAGCAGCUGCGCCACAACACAACACAGCAGUGCAGUUGCUUUUUUUUU
ensembl:lncRNA